rnacentral:rRNA from 1 species
CCUACGGGAGACAGCAGUAGGGAAUCUUCCACAAUGGGCGAAAGCCUGAUGGAGCAACGCCGCGUGGGUGAAGAAGGUCUUCGGAUCGUAAAACCCUGUUGUUAGAGAAGAAAGUGCGUGAGAGUAACUGUUCACGUUUCGACGGUAUCUAACCAGAAAGCCACGGCUAACUACGGGCCAGCAGCCGCGGUAAUACGUAGGUGGCAAGCGUUAUCCGGAUUUAGUGGGCGUAAAGGGAACGCAGGCGGUCUUUUAAGUCUGAUGUGAAAGCCUUCGGCUUAACCGGAGUAGUGCAUUGGAAACUGGGAGACUUGAGUGCAGAAGAGGAGAGUGGAACUCCAUGUGUAGCGGUGAAAUGCGUAGAUAUAUGGAAGAACACCAGUGGCGAAAGCGGCUCUCUGGUCUGUAACUGACGCUGAGGUUCGAAAGCGUGGGUAGCAAACAGGAUUAGAUACCCUUGUAGUC